rnacentral:lncRNA from 1 species
GAGUCACUCAAGCUCCACCUACAAGAUAGAAAAUGAUAUAAAUUGGCCUAAGAGAGAGGGAAUGUUAGGGAAGAUACCACUGUCAGGGGAGAUACCAUCCCGAGGGAAUAUAACAUCCUUAGGACCUCCUGAUUCCUGGACCAGUCGACGGGCUGAACCUCUCUUCCCCCCCAUUGGGACGUCUUUGGCAAGGUACUCUUUUGUAGCCCUGCUGUUACCAAGGUCCUCACUUACCUCUUUGCUCUGGAGAAUUACAACCCUUCAAACACCGUCUAUAUCUUUAAGACUCUCAGCCUGGCGCUUGACCUCACACUGUGGUGACAGGUCCAAAGUACCAGUCUCCACACUCGAUGCAAAUGCAGUGGUGGAAGACAUCAAGCUGAUGAGAGCUGGAAGGGCUAUGGUAAGGGGAAGACUUGUUUACCAGAGGCUGGAUUACUCAGGCUCUAACAUGAAUGUCAUAAAGAUGCCACCCAUCUGA